GGAUAUAUAAUAUUGUAUUUUUACAGUCAUGUACAUAUUAGUUUUAAUAUUAUUAAUUUUAUGAAUGUUAACAGUUACAUUGCAGUUUCAGGGAUAUCAUUUCAUAUUUGGAUAUUUAUGGAUAUGUGUAUAUUAACAGUCACUUUGCAUUGCAGGUAUAAUAUUUCUUAUUUAUAGUAAUGAAUGUUUUUUAUCAACAGGUCUGUUCAUUUUGAAACUGACUAUACUCAUCUUAAAGCAUGUCUAUUAAUAGCUAUGUAGUCAGUGCUAUUCUAGUUUAAUUAAGGGUGGUUAGGUAGGGUCAUUACAUUAUUAUGUGCCCUCAGUUGAUCCAAUCUGAUUGGAUCAUUCAAACUCUUGCCCUCUUUUACUAAUUCAAAUCUUCACUUCACUGUCAAUGCUUGCACCGACAAGACGUUUAUCCCGUGCUGGAAUUUAUCUACUUUAUAAGAUCACCACAGAUUGUACGUACGCUUGACUGGCUUGGCGGCUUGACAGGGCUGUAAUCUGCACCUUAGUGCCAUACACCGGGGUGUUGUUAAUAUUGGAAUAAAAGGUCUCACCCCCGUAA